GAUGAACGCUGGCGGCGUGCCUAAUAGAUGCAAUUCGAGCGAACGGACGAGAAGCUUUCUUCUCUGAUGUUAGCGGCGGACGGGUGAGUAACACGUGGAUAACCUACCUAUAAGACUGGGAUAACUUCGGGAAACCGGAGCUAAUACCGGAUAAUAUUUUGAACCGCAUGGUUCAAAAGUGAAAGACGGUCUUGCUGUCACUGAUACAUGGAUCCCCGCUGCAUUAGCUAGUUGGUAAGGUAACGGCUUACCAAGGCAACGAUGCAUAGCCGACCUGGGAGGGUGAUAGGCCACACUGGACCUGAGACACGGACCAGAAUCCUACGGGAGGCAGCAGUAGGGAAUCUUCCGCCAUGGGAGAAAGCCUGACGGAGCAACGCCGCGUGACUGAUGCAGGUCUUCGGAUCGUAAAACUCUGCUAUUAGGGAAGAACAUAUGUGUAAGUAACUGUGCACAUCUUGACGGUACCUAAUCCGAAAGGCAGGGCUCACUACGUG
rnacentral:rRNA from 1 species